ACACUUUCAGCCUUUUUGUUACGCCACUGCGCAGCCCUUUCCUUUCUCUUUUUGUUAACUUUCUUUUUUGCCAGUGGAUUUUCACCAGGUUUGGCUCGGUGUCCCUCCAAAGCCAAUUCUUGUUGAAGCAAGGCAUUUCCUGCCUUUCCAAUCAACUUCCUAGCUCUUCCCUGUAAGGUUCGAGUCUUUUCGUCUCCUCUCUUACUACGAGUGAUACUUUUUGGCUUUGUGGAUUUCGCUCUCAUUAUACGUAGCGUCCUACCUUCUGGCAUUUUUUUUUCAUUGAGGAGGAGUGCCUUAUCAACCCCCAUGGUAUCCUUAAACUGUAUAUAGGCAAAGCCCUUUCCAAGAUUGGUUUUUGGAUCACGAACAAUGCGAACAUAAUCAAUGCUACCACAGUCUCCAAAAUAGCGCCAGAGUGGCUCUUCCUCAGCUUCAAAGGCCAAAUUUCCAACAAAAACACAUCGUUUCGUAUCUUGAGGCAUCGGAUGGCUGACACUGUCGAC